UACCAGCACCCCGAGUGGUCGGGACGAUUAUUGGGCCUAAAGCAUCCGUAGCCGGUUCUGCAAGUCUUCCGUUAAAUCCACCUGCUCAACAGAUGGGCCGCGGGGGAUACUACAGGGCUAGGAGGCGGGAGAGGCAAGCGGUACUCGGUGGGUAGGGGUAAAAUCCUCUGAUCCACCGAAGACCACCAGUGGCGAAGGCGGCUUGCCAGAACGCGCUCGACGGUGAGGGAUGAAAGCUGGGGGAGCAAACCGG
rnacentral:rRNA from 1 species